UCUCCGUUGGUGAACCAGCGGAGGGAUCAUUGCUGGAACACGUCCCCCCGGGCGUACCCAGAAACCAUUUGUGAACUUAUAAGAACCCAUCGUUGCCUCGGCGCUGAGCUGGGGGCUUCUUUCCAAGGAGCUCUCCCAUGGUCUCUCGGGACGAUGGAGCAAGCCCGCCGGCGGCCCUUCUAAACUCUUGUUUUUAUUACGUAUCUCUUCUGAGUUAUUCAAAACAAAAUGAAUCAAAACUUUCAACAACGGAUCUCUUGGUUCUGGCAUCGAUGAAGAACGCAGC
rnacentral:misc_RNA from 1 species